CUGUCCUCGUGAUAUUUUGUCAUUUUGGCAAUAACGCUUGAAUAGGUAAUUCAUCGUUUACAGCGUUUUCGGUUUCUUCGCGAAUUAUAUUGGAAGGUCGAUUCUUUGACCAUUUGAACCCUAUAUUUUAUCCGGGUUACUGUUUUCCUAGCUUCAAUUUCGGCCGGGUUUUCAAUACCAAGAUUGUGUAGUAGUCCCUUUUUAAAGAUAUUAAUGAAUUCUUGUUCUAUUCUGGUGUUAUUUAUGCACAUUGCGUU